UCGGAAUGUGAAAUCCCUGAGCUUAAACUUAGGGAAUUGCAUUCGAUACUGGGGAAGCUAGCAUUUUGGAGGAGGAUGGUAGAACUCCCAGGCGUAGCGGUGAAAUGCGUAGAGAUCUGGAGGAAUACCGAUGGGCGAAGGGCAGCCAUGUGGCCUAAUACUGACGCUGAGGUACGAAAGCAUGGGGAGCAAACAGGAUUAGAUACCCUGGUAGUCCAUGCCGUAAACGAUGUCUACUAGCCGUUGGGGCCUUUGAGGCUUUAGUGGCGCAGCUAACGCGAUAAGUAGACCGCCUGGGGAGUACGGUCGCAAGACUAAAACUCAAAUGAAUUGACGGGGGCCCGCACAAGCGGUGGAGCAUGUGGUUUAAUUCGAUGCAACGCGAAGAACCUUACCUGGUCUUGACAUAGUAAGAACUUUCCAGAGAUGGAUUGGUGCCUUCGGGAACUUACAUACAGGUGCUGCAUGGCCGUCGUCAGCUCGUGUCGUGAGAUGUUGGGUUAAGUCCCGCAACGAGCGCAACCCUUUUCCUUAUUUGCCAGCGGGUUAAGCCGGGAACUUUAAGGAUAUUGCCAGUGACAAACUGGAGGAAGGCGGGGACGACGUCAAGUCAUCAUGGCCCUUACGACCAGGGUUACACACGUGGUACAAUGGUCGGUACAAAGGGUUGCUACCUAGCGAUAGGAUGCUAAUCUCAAAAAGCCGAUCGUAGUCCGGAUUGGAGUCUGCAACUCGACUCCACGAAGUCGGAAUCGCUAGUAAUCGCGGAUCAGAAUGCCGCGGUGAAUACGUUCCCGGGUCAUUUAACACACUCGCCCGUCACUCCAUGGGAAUUUGUUGCACCAGAAGUAGGUAGUCUAACUAGUCAAGGAUGGACG
rnacentral:rRNA from 1 species